GUCUAUGGCCAUACCACCCUGAACUCGCCCAAUCUCAUCUGAUCUCAGAAGCUAAGCAGGGUCUGGCCUGGUUAGUACUUGGAUGGGAGACCACCUGGAAAUACUGGGUGCCGUAGGCU
ensembl:rRNA 5S_rRNA 5S ribosomal RNA